rnacentral:lncRNA from 1 species
AGCUUGCCAUCUCAAAUCUCAGCUGAUACCUACUUGUACUCAUCACCUCCUCCUCCCAAGAAGCCCUAUUAUUAUCACUCUCCUCCACCACCUUCACCUCCUCCACCUAAGCCAUACUACUAUCAUUCACCACCACCACCUUCACCUCCUCCACCCAAGCCAUACUACUAUCACUCACCACCACCACCUUCACCUCCUCCACCUAAACCAUACUACUAUCACUCACCACCACCACCUUCACCUCCUCCACCUAAACCAUACUACUAUCACUCACCACCACCACCUUCACCUCCUCCACCUAAACCAUACUACUAUCACUCACCACCACCACCUUCACCUCCUCCACCUAAGUCAUAUUACUAUCACUCACCACCACCACCACCCAAAAAGAAGCCAUACUACUACCAUUCUCCCCCACCACCUUCACCACCUCCUCCUAAGCCAUACUACUAUCACUCUCCCCCACCGCCUUCACCUCCUCCACCUACGCCAUACUACUAUCAUUCUCCCCCACCACCCUCACCACCUCCACCUAAGCCAUACUACUACCAUUCACCACCACCCCCACCGAAGAAGAAGCCUUACUACUACCACUCUCCACCACCACCUUCACCUCCUCCUCCAAAGAAGCCAUACUACUACCACUCCCCACCUCCUCCCAAGAAGCCCUACAAAUAUUCAUCUCCCCCACCUCCAGUGCACCCUUACCCUCAUCCUCACCCCCAUCCCCAUCCACACCCCCACCCUCACCCUCCCUACGUUUACAAAUCUCCUCCCCCACCCCCUAAGAAGCCAUACAAGUACCCAUCCCCACCACCUCCAGUCCACGUUUACCCUCACCCUCACCCGCAUCCACACCCUCACCCUCAACCUCACCCCCAUCCACAACCCCACCCUCCCUACAUUUAUCAGUCUCCUCCAC